CCCUCCUGGAUUCCCUCCUUCCACAACUACUGCCCUGAAGGCCAGAUCAGAGGCUCUGCCUCAGGGCAGCUUUCUGUCCAGCACUGAACCUUCAGCAGCACCUUUAACACUGCCUUCCUCAGAAAAGAAGAGAAACCUGAGACAAGCAACCAACCUCACAGACACCACAGUGGUCAUUAUUGUCUCUGGGAGCCUGGCUCUUCUGGUCUGUGCCAUUAUCCCUCUUAUAUUCUAUGGACGCUGGAGGGGUAACUUAGACGGUCACAAUGGACCAGGAGGAAACAAGCAUGAGGGUGCUUCCUGUGAGGAAAAUGCAGAUGCUGGAUUGAGGCUGCAGACAUUUGAGCCACAAGUUGAACCAGAGUCCAGUUCUCAAGAUGCCUCCCAGUAUGCUUCCAUCUACGCAGCACUGGAUCCCAAAGCCCUGGACCUAGCAUGAUGCACAGUGCUCAGGAUGUAUUCCUGGACUGAUAGUGUACCGAGUUUCUCUUAAAAGUUGAAGCCAUGUCACAGUAGGACCUGCAGAGGGUGCUACAGAUGUGACAUGAGUCACCUGCUCCACUGUUACUUCUCACAACACCUCUGUAAGCCCACUUCCUUUGAAAAUCUUUAAAUACUUAAGUCUUGAAAGUCACAAGAAUGUUUUUUUAGAAAGGCCUGCUGUACAUUAAUUUCACCUCGUCUCUGCCUCAUUGUCACAUCACUGCAGUUAACAAGACUUAAAGAAAGCAAAUGGGAGACAGAAUAAAAGUAACAGCACUGGUACACAUGUGAUACUGUAUUGGAUUGUAAGUGUAGCUCAUUUUGGGUUCUUUAUAAGCAUUUAAAAAUGUAACUUAAAAAUAUAACUAUUCUAGCAAUGGUGAUAUGAAGAUAUGUUCUUUAUCUCCUUUUUUUAGAUUCACCUGAGUCUCAAAUAAUAAAAUCUGCUUUGAUGUUAAAUAAAGGAAAUGAGUUUAAUAUGCUCA